rnacentral:rRNA from 1 species
UACGGAGGGGGCAAGCGUUGUUCGGAUUUACUGGGCGUAAAGAGUGCGUAGGCGGAAUGGUAAGUGAAUCGUGAAAUCCUGAGGCUCAACCUCAGAACUGCGUUUCAAACUACCAAUCUUGAGUAUGGGAGAGGUAAGUGGAAUUCUCAGUGUAGCGGUGAAAUGCGUAGAUAUCAGAAGGAACAUCAAUGGCGAAGGCAGCUUUCUGGACUAACACUGACUCUGAGGUACGAAAGCGUGGGGAGCAAACAGG